rnacentral:tRNA from 1 species
AUUAGCUCAGCUGGUUAGAGCAUGGUGCUAUUAACACCAAGGUUGUGGGUUCAGUCCCUGUAU